rnacentral:ncRNA from 2 species
GGUCAUGAGUGCCAGCAUCGAGCCCCGGCUUGCUGGCCGGCAACCCUCCAACCGCGGUGGGGUGCCCCGGGUGAACGACCGGGUUAGUCGGCUACACGAGAACGUGUAGCCGGAGAACAAGCGCGGGUC